AUGGGCAGCGCAUGCGGGCGGGCGCAGCCACGGCCGUGCCCAGCACCAGAAAUCGCAGCGCUCCGGCUCAGAGGCUCCACCAAAGGCAAUAAUCCUGGCCAGGUUUGCGAAUUCCCCCUGAACAACCCCAAAUUUCCCCACCAAGGGGCAGCACCCCCCAGAUCUCCAGCACGGCACGUGCCAGGCGACACGAAGCGGCGUUUCGGCGAACGGCGACGGGCCGGGUGGGCAGAACCCAAACUGCCCCGAUUUUCCCCCGUUUGGGCUGGCACCGAGCGGCAUCCAGCUUACAGUGGGGCGCACUGGCAGCCCCCUACCCCUCUCCCCGUGCCCCCCAUCCCUUGGCAGGGCGGCUGCCCCCUCUCCGCAGCCGCCUUGCGCUCUUUUCCUGCGCGUCCCCCCUGGAGGGUUUUUUCCAUGACACGAGGCAGAGCGAGCGCGGAGCUGCCUCGCGCGCCCGGCUCCCCCGCCUGCAACCUCUGGCACGGCUUUUCCAGCGGCACAUUGUGCAAAUGUAACCUUUCAGCAAGCCGCUCCUACGGCAGGAAGCCGUGGGGCCGCGGCUGCUGCCAGGAACGCAGCCGGCGCGGAGCUGGAAGGCAGCCCGUUAAUCAGAGCCGGCUGACAGCGAGGCGCAGCCUGCCCGGCAGAUUUCGGCUCCCUCUCCCUCGCCCGGCCGUGCCUGAGCCUCUCCUGCUCGCUGAGGCUCGCCUGAGCUUUUCCUCCUGCCCUUCUGCCUCCCUUUCUUCAGCCUCAGCCUCUUCCUCACCGGGUGUCCGGCUGGGUUUGCUCCCUGCCUGCCCUUGGCGCAGGGUUUGGUGUGCCCAGGGGCUGCGGGGGUCCUCGGGGGGGGCUCUGUGCGCCAUCCCCUUUGGCCACAGCACCCUCCACAAGCACUGCUUGCACCCACACCAACCCAAAACGCACACCAGGGCACCAAACCCAUCGCCACCCGGCACCACCAUGCCCAGGACUCUGAUGGAAACCCCUGUGUGGCUCCAGGGGGGGGCUGACCGUGGGGCAGAGCCCCCAUUCCUGAGCCCCCCCAGGCCCUGGGAUGGGGUCUCCCAGCAGGAACAGCCGGCCCAGAGCUCCCCAGCAGGCACAGCUCAGCAGCACGGCAGCGUUUUGCGCUCUGGGAACGAACCAGCAGCGUUUUGGGAAGCCUCUUGCCCACCUCCAGCCCGCUGA
rnacentral:lncRNA from 1 species